rnacentral:rRNA from 1 species
GAUGAACGCUGGCGGCGUGCCUAAUACAUGCAAGUCGAGCGAACAGAUAAGGAGCUUGCUCCUUUGACGUUAGCGGCGGACGGGUGAGUAACACGUGGGUAACCUACCUAUAAGACUGGGAUAACUUCGGGAAACCGGAGCUAAUACCGGAUAAUAUUUCGAACCGCAUGGUUCGAUAGUGAAAGAUGGUUUUGCUAUCACUUAUAGAUGGACCCGCGCCGUAUUAGCUAGUUGGUAAGGUAACGGCUUACCAAGGCGACGAUGCGUAGCCGACCUGAGAGGGUGAUCGGCCACACUGGAACUGAGACACGGUCCAGACUCCUACGGGAGGCAGCAGUAGGGAAUCUUCCGCAAUGGGCGAAAGCCUGACGGAGCAACGCCGCGUGAGUGAUGAAGGUCUUCGGAUCGUAAAACUCUGUUAUUAGGGAAGAACAUACGUGUAAGUAACUAUGCACGUCUUGACGGUACCUAAUCAGAAAGCCACGGCUAACUACGUG